AAAAGUUAGAAGUUUUGCAAAACUGUUUCUAACGGAAACCGUUUACUCCAAACGGAAAACGUUUGGCAACGAAAACGCUAGUUUCUAAUAGACAAAUACAGGUGAAGUGACAGGCGAGGCAUGCUGCUGCAAGGAGUUUCUGCUGAAUGCGGAACAACCGCAAGCAGUUCAAAUAGGUCCCUUCUCAUUACCUGCCUGCCUGCCUGCCUGCCUGCCUGCCUGCCUGCCUGCCUGCCUGCCUGCCUGCCUGCCUGCCUGCCUGCCUGCCUGCCUGCCUGCCUGCCUGCCUGCCUGCCUGCCUGCCUGCCUGCCUGCCUGCCUGCCUGCCUGCUAUGUGGCUACCUCUAUCUAUAUAUCCAUCGAAAUCAAUACCCUACUCUAUCUCCAUAAUGGCAUAAAAUUAUGAUAAUAUGUCAAAUCUAUGUUUUUGAAUUAAAAAAACGUAUGCAUCCAUAAAGGGAGCUUCCUCCUGUAUAUUUGCUGCAUUGCAAGUUACUUUCCUUCUUGCCAUGAUCAUUGAUCGGCUCCUAACAAACAAGCCUGCCGCGAAGAUUGUAAAGACUAUACAGCCUUUGAUCCACAUGAAUGAAGUCAAUCAAUCAGUGAAGUGCUGCCAUGUACAAUGUCUAGGGGCGGACUGGCCAUCUGGCAUUUUGGGUAUAUGCCAGAUGAGCCGGCCCAUUUUUAGCCCUAUCCUCCCAUGUACAAUGUCCCUGAUAAUGUUCUGA